rnacentral:rRNA from 1 species
AGCUCAAAUUUGAAAUCUGACGUUUAAUUACGUUCGAGUUGUAAUUUGGAGGGGUAUCUUCGGAAGCAACACCGCCCUAUGUUCCUUGGAACAGGACGUCACAGAGGGUGAGAAUCCCGUGCUUUGGCGGCUACGUUGCAACCAUGUGAAGUGCCUCCAACGAGUCGAGUUGUUUGGGAAUGCAGCUCAAAAUGGGUGGUAAAUUUCAUCUAAAGCUAAAUACAGGCGAGAGACCGAUAGCGCACAAGUAGAGUGAUCGAAAGAUGAAAAGCACUUUGAAAAGAGGGUCAAAAAGUACGUGAAAUUGUUGAAAGGGAAGCGCUUGAGAUCGAACUCGGUCUUUGGUACACAGCCGAGCUUCUGCUUGGUGCAUUGGCCAUUGACUGGGCCAGCAUCGGUUCCGACGGUGGGAUAAAAGGCCGGGAAAUGUGG